UUUAUUUUUUUUACACUAAGAUACUCCCUACUUUCCUUUGAUUGGAAAUAAAGAGAGACAAAAAGGUAAAUUUAAUUUCUCUUCUUAUGUCAAUCAAAGGGAGGUGUGGAGUAGAGGUGUAAAAAGUAAA
rnacentral:pre_miRNA from 1 species